UAUUAUACCGAGGCUAUUGGUUCUAGUGGGGAACAGCCACUAGAGGUAAGGGGGAAAGUUUGGUGUCAGUCCAACGCUGUCCCGCAACUGUGAUGAAAUUUUGAGCAAAAAUCGAAUAUUUCUUAGUCAGAAUACCCGCCAAUUAUUUAGCCAAAUU
rnacentral:ncRNA from 2 species